rnacentral:rRNA from 1 species
AUUGAACGCUGGCGGCAGGCCUAACACAUGCAAGUCGAACGGUAACAGGAAGCAGCUUGCUGCUUCGCUGACGAGUGGCGGACGGGUGAGUAAUGUCUGGGAAGCUGCCUGAUGGAGGGGGAUAACUACUGGAAACGGUAGCUAAUACCGCAUAAUGUCGCAAGACCAAAGAGGGGGACCUUCGGGCCUCUUGCCAUCGGAUGUGCCCAGAUGGGAUUAGCUUGUUGGUGGGGUAACGGCUCACCAAGGCGACGAUCCCUAGCUGGUCUGAGAGGAUGACCAGCCACACUGGAACUGAGACACGGUCGAGACUCCUACGGGAGGCAGCAGUGGGGAAUAUUGCACAAUGGGCGCAAGCCUGAUGCAGCCAUGCCGCGUGUAUGAAGAAGGCCUUCGGGUUGUAAAGUACUUUCAGCGGGGAGGAAGGGAGUAAAGUUAAUACCUUUGCUCAUUGACGUUACCCGCAGAAGAAGCACCGGCUAACUCCGUG